UUUCUAGUCCUACUGGGAGAAAGAGGAACAACCAGAAUGGUUUCUAGUCCUACUGGGAGAAAGAUGAACAAUAGGAAUGGUUUCUAGUCCUACUGGGAGAAAGAGAAACAACAGGAAUGGUUUCUAGUCCUACUGGGAGAAAGAUGAACAACAGGAAUGGUUUCUAGUCCUACUGGGAGAAAGAGAAACAACAGGAAUGGUUUCUAGUCCUACUGGGAGAAAGAGGAACAACAGGAAUGGUUUCUAGUCCUACUGGGAGAAAGAUGAACAACAGGAAUGGUUUCUAGUCCUACUGGGAGAAAGAUGAACAACAGGAAUGGUUUCUAGUCCUACUGGGAGAAAGAGGAACAACAGGAAUGGUUUCUAGUCCUACUGGGAGAAAGAUGAACAACAGGAAUGGUUUCUAGUCCUACUGGGAGAAAGAUGAACAACAGGAAUGGUUUCUAGUCCUACUGGGAGAAAGAUGAACAACAGGAAUGGUUUCUAGUCCUACUGGGAGAAAGAGGAACAACAGGAAUGGUUUCUGGUCCUACUGGGAGAAAGAUGAACAAUAGGAAUGGUUUCUAGUCCUACUGGGAGAAAGAUGAACAACAGGAAUGGUUUCUAGUCCUACUGGGAGAAAGAUGAACAAUAGGAAUGGUUUCUAGUCCUACUGGGAGAAAGAUGAACAAUAGGAAUGGUUUCUAGUCCUACUGGGAGAAAGAUGAACAAUAGGAAUGGUUUCUAGUCCUACUGGGAGAAAGAUGAACAAUAGGAAUGGUUUCUAGUCCUACUGAGAGAAAGAGGAAUAACCAGAAUGGUUUCUAGUCCUACUGAGAGAAAGAGGAAUAACCAGAAUGGUUUCUAGUCCUACUGAGAGAAAGAGGAACAACAGGAAUGGUUUCUAGUCCUACUGAGAGAAAGAGGAAUAACCAGAAUGGUUUCUAGUCCUACUGGGAGAAAGAGGAACAACAGGAAUGGUUUCUAGUCCUACUGAGAGAAAGAGGAACAACCAGAAUGGUUUCUAGUCCUACUGUAGCAGGUCAAGACUUGUUAAUUAUUUGAAAAACAGCUGAUUUGAGGUCAUUGAUUUUCCUCUCACGUAAUUAACAAACACAACAUGUAAAAUUAAAAUCAGUCAAACAGUGUCUUAAAAUAACCAAUCAAUGGGUGAUACUGUGUCCAAACACAGGGUAGACAUGUUGUGUCCAGACUGUUAAAAGUGCUGUAGUGUGGAGUUUACAGA